rnacentral:rRNA from 1 species
UACGUAGGGGGCUAGCGUUGUCCGGAUUUAUUGGGCGUAAAGAGCGUGUAGGCGGCCAGGUAGGUCUGCUGUGAAAACUCGAGGCUCAACCUCGAGACGUCGGCGGAAACCAUCUGGCUAGAGUCCGGAAGAGGAGAGUGGAAUUCCUGGUGUAGCGGUGAAAUGCGCAGAUAUCAGGAAGAACACCCGUGGCGAAGGCGGCUCUCUGGGACGGUACUGACGCUGAGACGCGAAAGCUAGGGGAGCGAACGGG